rnacentral:rRNA from 1 species
GAUGAACGCUAGCUACAGGCUUAACACAUGCAAGUCGAGGGGAAACGGCAUCGAAAGCUUGCUUUUGGUGGGCGUCGACCGGCGCACGGGUGAGUAACGCGUAUCCAACCUGCCCAUCACUUGGGAAUAACCUUGCGAAAGUAAGACUAAUGCCCAAUGACAUCCCACGAAGGCAUCCGAAUGGGAUUAAAGAUUUAUCGGUGAUGGAUGGGGAUGCGUCUGAUUAGCUUGUUGGCGGGGUGACGGCCCACCAAGGCAACGAUCAGUAGGGGUUCUGAGAGGAAGGUCCCCCACAUUGGAACUGAGACACGGUCCAAACUCCUACGGGAGGCAGCAGUGAGGAAUAUUGGUCAAUGGGCGAGAGCCUGAACCAGCCAAGUAGCGUGCAGGAUGACGGCCCUAUGGGUUGUAAACUGCUUUUAUAAGGGAAUAAAGUGGGUCACGUGUGACUUUUUGCAUGUACCUUAUGAAUAAGGACCGGCUAAUUCCGUG